rnacentral:rRNA from 1 species
AAUAGAUACCCCGGUAGUCCACGCCGUAAACGAUGAGUGCUAAGUGUUAGAGGGUUUCCGCCCUUUAGUGCUGCAGCUAACGCAUUAAGCACUCCGCCUGGGGAGUACGGCCGCAAGGCUGAAACUCAAAGGAAUUGACGGGGGCCCGCACAAGCGGUGGAGCAUGUGGUUUAAUUCGAAGCAACGCGAAGAACCUUACCAGGUCUUGACAUCCUCUGACCUCCCUGGAGACAGGGCCUUCCCCUUCGGGGGACAGAGUGACAGGUGGUGCAUGGUUGUCGUCAGCUCGUGUCGUGAGAUGUUGGGUUAAGUCCCGCAACGAGCGCAACCCUUGACCUUAGUUGCCAGCAUUCAGUUGGGCACUCUAAGGUGACUGCCGGUGACAAACCGGAGGAAGGUGGGGAUGACGUCAAAUCAUCAUGCCCCUUAUGACCUGGGCUACACACGUGCUACAAUGGAUGGUACAAAGGGCUGCGAGACCGCGAGGUUAAGCCAAUCCCAGAAAACCAUUCCCAGUUCGGAUUGCAGGCUGCAACCCGCC